GGAGGGUUGCCAGAGCGGUAAUGGAGCGGCUUGCUAAGCCGUGACGAGGAAUACUCGUUCACAGGUUCAAAUCCUGUACCCUCCG
rnacentral:tRNA from 1 species